rnacentral:lncRNA from 1 species
GAGCUUCUCAACCAGCUUGAAGAGGAGAAAAGAAGGUUGAGGACCUUCAGUUCCGGGUUGAAGAAGAAUCAAUUACCAAAGGUGAUCUUGAGUGGCUACAGUUUCAGAAAAGUCACGUAUAAUGGAACUGGAGAAAGACCUAGCAUUGAGAGUACAGGAAGUAGCUGAGCUCCGAAGAAGGCUAGAGUCCAAUAAGCCUGCUGGGGAUGUGGACAUGUCACUUUCCCUUUUGCAAGAGAUAAGCUCUUUGCAAGAAAAGUUAGAAGUCACCCGUACUGA